GGGAGCCGGAGGGAAACCGAGUCUUAAUUGGGCGUUAAGUUGCAGGGUAUAGACCCGAAACCCGGUGAUCUAGCCAUGGGCAGGUUGAAGGUUGGGUAACACUAACUGGAGGACCGAACCGACUAAUGUUGAAAAAUUAGCGGAUGACCUGUGGCUGGGGGUGAAAGGCCAAUCAAACCGGGAGAUAGCUGGUUCUCCCCGAAAGCUAUUUAGGUAGCGCCUCGUGAAUUCAUCUCCGGGGGUAGAGCACUGUUUCGGCUAGGGGGCCAUCCCGGCUUACCAACCCGAUGCAAACUGCGAAUACCGGAGAAUGUUAUCACGGGAGACACACGGCGGGUGCUAACGUCCGUCGUGAAGAGGGAAACAACCCAGACCGCCAGCUAAGGUCCCAAAGUCAUGGUUAAGUGGGAAACGAUGUGGGAAGGCCCAGACAGCCAGGAUGUUGGCUUAGAAGCAGCCAUCAUUUAAAGAAAGCGUAAUAGCUCACUGGUCGAGUCGGCCUGCGCGGAAGAUGUAACGGGGCUAAACCAUGCACCGAAGCUGCGGCAGCGACGCUUAUGCGUUGUUGGGUAGGGGAGCGUUCUGUAAGCCUGCGAAGGUGGCCUGUGAGGGUUGCUGGAGGUAUCAGAAGUGCGAAUGCUGACAUAAGUAACGAUAAAGCGGGUGAAAAGCCCGCUCGCCGGAAGACCAAGGGUUCCUGUCCAACGUUAAUCGGGGCAGGGUGAGUCGACCCCUAAGGCGAGGCCGAAAGGCGUAGUCGAUGGGAAACGGGUUAAUAUUCCCGUACUUGGUGUUACUGCGAAGGGGGGACGGAGAAGGCUAUGUUGGCCGGGCGACGGUUGUCCCGGUUUAAGCGUGUAGGCUGGUUUUCCAGGCAAAUCCGGAAAAUCAAGGCUGAGGCGUGAUGACGAGGCACUACGGUGCUGAAGCAACAAAUGCCCUGCUUCCAGGAAAAGCCUCUAAGCAUCAGGUAACAUCAAAUCGUACCCCAAACCGACACAGGUGGUCAGGUAGAGAAUACCAAGGCGCUUGAGAGAACUCGGGUGAAGGAACUAGGCAAAAUGGUGCCGUAACUUCGGGAGAAGGCACGCUGACACGUAGGUGAAGUGAUUUACUCACGGAGCUGAAGUCAGUCGAAGAUACCAGCUGGCUGCAACUGUUUAUUAAAAACACAGCACUGUGCAAACACGAAAGUGGACGUAUACGGUGUGACGCCUGCCCGGUGCCGGAAGGUUAAUUGAUGGGGUCAGCGCAAGCGAAGCUCCUGAUCGAAGCCCCGGUAAACGGCGGCCGUAACUAUAACGGUCCUAAGGUAGCGAAAUUCCUUGUCGGGUAAGUUCCGACCUGCACGAAUGGCGUAAUGAUGGCCAGGCUGUCUCCACCCGAGACUCAGUGAAAUUGAACUCGCUGUGAAGAUGCAGUGUACCCGCGGCAAGACGGAAAGACCCCGUGAACCUUUACUAUAGCUUGACACUGAACAUUGAGCCUUGAUGUGUAG
rnacentral:rRNA from 1 species